rnacentral:misc_RNA from 1 species
ACGGGUAGAUCUCCCACCCUUGAAUAAUAUACCUUCGUUGCUUUGGCAGGCCGCGCCUGCGCCAGCGGCUCCGGCUGCUGAGUGCCUGCCAGAGGACCACAACUCUUGUUUUUAGUGAUGUCUGAGUACUAUAUAAUAGUUAAAACUUUCAACAACGGAUCUCUUGGUUCUGGCAUCGAUGAAGAACGCAGCGAAAUGCGAUAAGUAAUGUGAAUUGCAGAAUUCAGUGAAUCAUCGAAUCUUUGAACGCACAUUGCGCCCUUUGGUAUUCCGAAGGGCAUGCCUGUUCGAGCGUCAUUAUAACCACUCAAGCUCACGCUUGGUAUUGGGGUUCGCGAUUAGCGGCUCCUAAAACCAGUGGCGGUGCCUGUCGGCUCUACGCGUAGUAAUUUUCUCGCUAUAGGGUCCGGCUGGUUACUUGCCAACAACCCCCAAUUUUACAGG